CCUACGGGAGGCUGCAGUGAGGAAUAUUGGUCAAUGGACGAGAGUCUGAACCAGCCACGUAGCGUGAAGGAUGAAUGCCCUCUGGGUUGUAAACUUCUUCUAUAUGGGAAUAAAAUGUUCCACGUGUGGGAUUUUGUAUGUCUCAUAUGAUUAAGGAUAGGCCAAUUCUGCGCCAGCAGCCGCGGUAAUACGGAGGAUCCGAGCGUUAUCCGGAUUUAUUGGGUGUAAAGGGAGAGUAGAUGGAUUGUUAAGUCAGUUGUGAAAGUUUGCGGCUCAACCGUGAAAUUGCAGUUGAAACUGGCAGUCUUGAGUACAGUAGAGGGGGGCGGAAUUCGUGGUGUAGCGGUGAAAUGCUUAGAUAUCAGGAGGAACUCCGAUGGCGAAGGCAGCUCGCUGGACGAUAACUGACGCUGAGGCCCGAAAGUGUGGGUAUCAAACAGGAUUAGAUACCCGUGUAGUC
rnacentral:rRNA from 1 species